rnacentral:lncRNA from 1 species
AAGCGUGGCAUAUGCAAGAGGAAAACCGUUGCCAAAACACCUGUGUCAUCUUCUCCACUAAACCGCGCCAUGAACAGUAAACAGAGCAUGAACUCGAUGAACAAAAUCUCCAGAAAUUUAAGAUACGCAUAUAUUCAUGAAGCACACACAACACACAUCACGAAUCAAGCAAACAUCAAGCAUUUAUCAUCCUAAAUCAUGUGGAUCGAGUAAAAAACAAAUUCAACAUGAAACUUUAAACACUCGAUUCUCAGUGAAUAAUGCACGGUUUUAAA